CAAAGACUUUAUGUGUAUCCACAUCGAAACUGAUCCAUGUUAUCAACUCUUUGAUCAACGAAAUCUGCGAACAAAUUGAAUGAAAACUUUGUGAUGAUGUUUUUCUCAAAAACUUCAACUCAAAAUUAAAAAAAAAACAAGAGAACAAUUUUCUUGUUAACAAUAUUUUCUCUAUUGAUUGUAUUACACUCUCACUUUUACAAAGUAAUUUUUUCUCAAGAAUUAAUACGACAAUUUUUCUUCUCACCCUUAUAUUGCAUCACUUAUAAACUCUUUUCCUAUUUGGUUGAGGUUGAGGUAAUGAUUUAUUUGAGGUGUAAGUUUAAUUCCAAAAUUAAACUUUACCAUAAUAUUUUAUUGGAAAAUAUCAAAUUUCCUCCUAAAGGGAUUAAUGACGUGACCAUCAUUUUUAAUCCAAUUCAAACUUGGAUUCUAAACUUAUAAAUAUUUUCCGAUUAUAAAAUUCAAAUCCCAUCUAAAUGGGUUGAAUUUGUUGAACAUCCUUUAUGGACUUUGACGUAAAAAUCCAAUUCUAAAUUGGAUUUCAUUCAUAAGUCUUUCAUUAAUAUUUUAUAUACAUACCUGUCACGACCCAAAACCAACCAUCAUGAUGGCGCCUAUCGUAGAACUAGGUAAGCCAACUACUCAACCAGUUCAACCAAAUAAAAACUUUAAAAAUUAAACGGAAGUAGUUAAUAUUUAUGAAAACCCCUUUAAAACUGAAAUAAAACCACUACGCAAUACAAAUCUCUCCCGAAAAUUGGGGUAUCACCGAGUACAUGAGCAUCUAUACCAGGAUACAGCCUACUACAAUGUCUGAGGAAUAAGAAUUGAAAUACAAACAAAGAUAAUGAAGGAGGGUCAAGGCCUGCGAACGCCAUGCAGCUACCUCGAUAGUAUCCGAGAUCUCGACUCCUCACUCAGCAACCGCCGUAACCGGAAGCACCUGGAUCUGCACACUGAAAGUAGUGACGAAUUCAACCGGCACAGUUCAAUACAGAAAAUAACAGUGCAGAAAUGUAGACAUACUUUCAAGUUCGAUAGAUAUAUCAAAACAGUAAAAAUGGAUCAAAUCUGAAUGAUAUGAAGAAUAUAACUCAUCUACUUCUACAUGCCAAUGCACAUGUUGUAUGUGAUGCACCAUGCUGACAGCCUCAUGCGCUCACACUCUAAAAUGAUCAAUCCAUCGGUACUGUAUAUGGCCCAUACGACCCAGGGAAGAUCCAUCCCGAAAUAUAUACAUCACUGACUAUCCGUCACCCAGUACCAAGUAGGGUCAAUCCAGCCCGUGGAGAAGAUCCAUCUUCAGGUAUAUAAUGCUUCGGAUAAGAUCCAUGUCCAGGAAAGAUCCAUCCCUUAAUAUAAUCAACCGCGGUCAUUGGGGGUGUGUACAGACUCCGGAGGGGCUCCUUCAGUCUAAGCGCUAUCAUAAACCAGUAUAACCGCUACGGCGUGCAGCCCGAUCCCGUAAAUGCCACUCAUAAUCAGGCUUUCGGCCUCACUCAAUCAUCAAUCUCUCCAGUCUCUCUCUCACGGGCUCACAGUGUCAUAAUACUAGCCCGAAAAUAAUGAUAUGUGAUAUGAUGUAUCAAUAAAUAACAACAAAGACUUAGAUAUGAUAUGAAAUAAAUGAAUAUAACUGAGUACGAAAUAUCAAUGCAAUUAGUAAGACCACGGCAAGAAACGACCACUAUGGGUCCCAGCAGUACCGGCAUAAAGCCUAAACAUGAUAUCUAGUAUGAGUGACAACUCAAUUACUUUAUCACAUGAUGAAAAAACGGAUAUCAACAAUAUAGAACCACUAGACAGUGUCAUGGAAUCGACCAGGUCACAAUUCUCAUGGUGCACGCCCGCACGCCCGUUACUUCGCAUGUGCGUCACCUUAAUACCAAUCACAUAACACAUAAGUUUGGGGUUUCGAACCCUCAGAACCAAGUAUAGAAGUUUUACUUACCUCAAUCCGAGAAAAUCCCUACUCCAAUACGCCUUUAACUCGCAAAUCGGCCUCCAAAUGAUCCGAAUCUAGCCACAAACAGUACAAUACAAUCAAUACGGGCUAAAGGAAUCAAUUCUACAAGAAAUUACAUAGUUAUAACUCAAAAAUCCGAAAUCGGCUCAAACCCGGCCCCCGGGCCCAUGCUUAGGAAUCCAACAAAACUCACAAAAUCCAAAAGUCCAUCCAAUCAUGAGUCUAGUCAUACCAAAUUCUUCAAAAUCUGACACCAAUUGAUCAUUCAAAUCCCCAAAAUCAACUCUCCAAAUCCCUAGCCUCAAACCCCCAAAUUACACCAUACCAACUAAGUGAAAAAUCAGUGGGAAAACAUAAUUAUUGAAGAAAGAUGAACACAAGGAACUUACCUCAAGAAUCCCAUUGAAAAUCCUCUAAAUAAACCUCCAAAAUCUGAGCUCAAAAUGUAAGAAAAUGAAGAAAAUCGCGGACCCAUAUGUUUAUACGUUCUGCCCAGUCAAACUGCACCUGUGGUCCCAAAUUCUGCUUCUGCGGUCCCGCCCUUGAGGUGAAAUCUCCGCAUUUGCGGAAUUCACUUACCCAGCAUGACUUUGCUUUUGCGGACACGCUCCUACGAAGGACCAUCCACUUCUGCGAAGCUGCCUCACCAAGCUCCCACGCACUUCUGUGAUCCAACACACGCAUCUGCGGACACGUAGGUGCGGAAAGGACCUCGCACCUGUGACCUCUCCCCUUCUUGACCGCUUCUGCGGCCGCUUCCUCUCUUCUGCGAGCUCGUAUCUGUGGUUCUCAAUCCGCAAGCGCGUUUACACCAGCAGUUGUAAAUCUUCAGCAAUUCUUCAAUUUCAAAACUUGGUCCGUUAACCACCUGAAAUCAACCCGAGGCCCCCCGGGAUCUCAACUAAACAUACCAACAAGUAUUAAAAUGUCAUACGAACUUAUCCGAGCCUUUAAAUCAACUCAAACAACAUCAAAAACACGAAUCGCACCCCAAUUCAAGCCUAAUGAACUUUGAAAUUUUAAAAUUCUACAAACGACGCUGAAACCUAUCAAAUCACGUCUGAUUAACCUCAAACUUUGCACACCAGUCACAAAUGACACCACGAACCUACUCCCACUUCCGUAAAUCUAAUCCGACCCCGAUAUCAAAAAGUCCACCCCCAGUCAAACUUUCCAAAAUUUUAUUUUUUGCCAUUUCAAGCCUUAUUCUACUACGGACCUCCAAAUCACAAUCCGGACACACUCCUAAGUCUAAAAUCACCUAACGGAGCUAACAGAACCAUCAAAAUUCAAAUUCGAGGUCAUUUACACAUAAUUCAAUAUCCGGUCAACUUUUCCAACUUAAGCUUUUCAUUAUGAGACUAAAUGUCUCAAUUCACUCCGAAAUCUCNNNN
rnacentral:lncRNA from 1 species